ensembl:lncRNA
CCAGCCUAGGUGCAGGCAUGUCCUGGGUGCUGGGGGCUUCUUCCAUCAAGGCAGCCCUCCCCUGCCCCAGACCGUGGGGUGCCCACCACCAGCUGCCCCCGUUCCCUCCCUUGCGUCUCCCACAGGAGGAGCGGGGAGGAACCGUGCUCGGGGCAGCCUCCGGAGCGAAAGCAGGGCUUGGGCCUUGUCUGAGUUCGAAUCCCGCUCGGGGCCUCAGCUUCCACAGCGCAGUGAUCCUGAGGGUCAGAGGCCACAGCAUUGUGCCUGCAGGGCUCAGCCUCCCCCCCCCCCCCCCCCCGCCCCACGCCUGAUCAAAGCCCUGGAAUCCAGCAGAGGUUUUCAACGCCUGCUGCCCUCCGCGAAACCCCACAGCUGUUUACAAGCCUGGGGUCUGCUUUCAAUCACUCUUUCUCUGUGGAGAUCAGCUGGGCUCCAGAACGUUUCCGGAUGUGUGAGAAGCAGGCCAGGCGGGCAGGGCCCCGUGCUGGCUCGGCCCCAGGCCUUGCUCAGGGACCUGAGGGAUCCCAGAGCCUCAGUGUCCUCAUCUUUAAAAUGGAGGUCAUGCCCUCUUCUCCCAGAUGACAAGUUCAAGAUGGGUCCCAGGCUCGCAAGCCUGGCCUGGGAGCACCAGAGGGCGCUCUUGACCUGCUGAAGGCUGCUCCGGGCGCCCGCUGACUCCUGCCCUUAGACCACAUCCUGGGAGGACACGGAGCCACAUCCCAAUUUCAGGAAAGCUGAGUGGACCAGCUUCGUGCCCGAAUACCUGCCUUCUCUCAAGUGCAUGUCCUUGGAAGACCCGAGUUUGCCUCAGUGACCUGCUGCAGGAGUCAAGGUGCAGGCAAGAUUAAGCCUCGCAUGAGAGACAAGUCUUUCAUCUUAGACAGGAGCCACAGUUUGGAGAGGAAGAAGGGGUCAUGAUAAGAAACCUCCAGGAAGAUCACAGUGACCUAUAAUCGUUCGUCCCUCUCUGACCCAUGGCAGGCGGGCUGUGCUGGCCCCCCUCUUCCACAGCUCUCCGAAGACUGUGACUGGGUCUGACCUAUCUUUGUGCCACCUCAGUACCCAGCACAGGGCACAACAUCUUCUAGAUAUGUUGGACGGAGCCAAGCUUCCUAUUUAUGAGAUGCAAAAUCACUUAUCAACAUCAAUGCUGAUUGCUAUCCCAACAUGAAGAGUGCAGCGCCCAGGGCUCCUCUUCAGGUCCCAGCUUGGACUCACGAUGUUCUGAGCUCCAAUCCCCCCUAUGCUGCUGAUACCACGAUGUCUGCUGUCCCUGGACCUCUUGGGAUCUGAAAGCUCCCGAACGAUGGCGGCGAUUUUCUCUGUAAACUCUAUCCCUGCAAUUCCAACCUCUACCACCAGGUGGCAGCUAGGAUUACAGAAAUUUAUCAAAACUAGCCUAAUUUCUAAAACUAUACUUCUAAUGAAAAAUACCCUAAAUUAAAACAAGAUACACACACACAUAUGUAUUAUUGUAUUGGCAUAGAUUUAAAAGUAUGAUAAUACCCACAGUUGGGCAGAGCUUGGGGGAACAUGCAGCCUUCACAUGUUCUUGGUGGAAAUGUAAAUUAGCACGGCCUCCUGGAGGGCAAUUUGGCAAAAGACAUCAAAAGCCUCACACACGUGUAAACCCUUUGGUCUAGCAGUUCAACUUCUAGACAUUUAUUCUAAGGACAUAAUCAUGGAAAUAAACCUACAUUUAUUCCUAGGAUGUUGACUAUGAGGGUGAAAAAUUGUCAAUAUAAAUAAUAUAACUUGGAGACCAGUUAAACACAUUAUAUAUAAUAUAAUAAACAUGAUAAAAUAUGACAUAGCUAUUACAUUCUAUAAGAAUUCUUAAUGAUGUGGAAAAAUGUCAUGCUAUAUUAAGUGAAAAAAACAGGCUACAAGAAUGUAUGUCCACUGUAAUCCCAUUUUUUAAAAUAACAAAUAUAAAAGCAAACUUGCACAUAAAAAAUGUUGGAAGAAGAAAUACUAAAAUAUUGAGCAGACUUAUCUGUGGGUGGUAGGAUUAUGGAUAGCUGCUUUUUCCUUUUUUUGUGCUUUUCUCUAUUUUGGGAAGGUUUACAGUAAACACGCUUCUGUUGUCAUCAGCAGAGAGCUGUCACUGAACCCUUGCAGCGGAAAUGACAGGCCAGCUCCGAACAAGGAGGCCAUGGACAAGGUGGCCUGGGCCCUUGUCCGUCCACCACCUGUCCCUCGGACAUGGGUGGCUCCUAUGCCCCUGACCCCCAUUGGGCCACAUGUGGACCUGGUUUCAGCUGGUCUCGGCAGGGGAGGGCUGGCCUGGAUGAAUCCAGAACAUGCAGCCGGCACAGUCUCCACCCAGCCCUCCUGCACGACUCUUUUCUUGCUCUUUCUUUGCCUUACAAAGUGACAUGUUUUUAGCACAAAGAAAAAAAAAAAUCCUCCCCAGGGCUGGUCUUGAAAUCUCCCAAACUGCCCUUUCUCAGAGCCCUGUGCCUUCCAAAUGCUGCCGUGUGCUGGUGCAUCAGCACCAGCUGAGCCCGUCCUUCCUCUCUCGAGGCCUCUGCGUGGGGUGGUGGCGGCGACGACGACGGGGACACACACAGCCAGAGCAUCGAGGGAGGGGCUGUCGUGCAUGCUGCCCCUGGCUCGCGGUUGACCCCAUCAACCCCUCCAGCUCUGUGGCGGGGCCUUGCCAGUUCCGAGAGGCUUGUCUGCCCCAGCCGCGCAGCCGACCCAGGGCUGAGCUGGACUGGGUGGCAGGACGGGAAGCUCGUGUGGUUCUCUGUGGACAAGGUGCCUCUUAGGUGGCCCAGGAGUGCGGCAGUCCCCCUACCCUCUGGGGCGACCACACGGAGCUGUCUGUAAACAGACCCCAGGCUGGGAGCCA